CAAAACACAAAGGUCCAGAAGCAGGCUUUGCCUGUGAAGAUAAAGGGAAAAAAGGGAAUGAAUACCACGUAACCAGACAGCCGUAAACCUUCUGCUGCAGACCACUGAUAGGAGUCUAUAGACCACCAGUUUGGGAAACCUCUGCUUUACACUUCUAAAUGAUUCGACAUUUGUUCCCUCUGAUGACACCACGAAUCUGGGAAUGAAGAACUUCUUAGAGCUGAUUGGAAAUGGCAUUACGGAGCUGAAACUUAACUGGAGGAAAUAUAUCUCCUGAAGAAGAAAAUAUAAUGCACUAUAAGGAUCUGACUUCUGGUGAAAAAUUCAAGCCUAGAGAAAACUUGUCCGCUUUGUUAGGAAGAAUGGGUUGGACAAUUUUCUUCAGUUCCAAAGGAUAUCUGAAUGCCAUGCUGAGCUUAAUCUCUGCAGCAUGCUCUGUGCUUCUCAUCUCUUCCUGAUGCACUGCAUGGUUAUCCUGAAGGGGACGAUAAAGAAACUGGCCACCAAGAUGGUAAUCACUAGUGGAAAUGAAGAAGAUAAAGGCAGUCAAGAAAAGGAAAGCAAAGAAGAAACCAUCUUGGCAAUGCUUGGAAUUAUUGGGACAAUUCUGAACCUCAUUGUGAUCAUUUUUGUGUAUAUUUACACAACGUUGUAA
rnacentral:lncRNA from 1 species